rnacentral:piRNA from 1 species
UGCACGUGGCAAAGAAACAGAAGGGUGGAU